AAAAAGCAAACAGAAUCAACUGGUAUUAAGGGCCUUUCAUAGUGCAAAAACCAGAAAGAUACAGAGUCAUUAACUUAUUGGUGCUUAAAACUAGGCAAAAACAUGUGAAAAUGUCUCCUUUCCUUAGUGAGCUGGGGACUAUUCAAAAAGUUAUUUACAUUGCUUUUUUCCUGCCCACUUUAUGAAACCAUAUUUGCUGCACUCCUGUUGAUUAUGCUUACCUGAUCAGAUAUGUUAUUUGGGAAACUGCAUGUUUUCUGUAUAGUGACAGUGCAUUUUAGGCAACCUACUCAAGUGCAUGCAGAAAAUUUUUGUCCAUCCAGACCACAACAGAGCACUUCUACUAUCCAAAUUUACACACACUUCUCUCAGAACCUAGAAACAGAAUUCUUUUCUAGUCAAGAGCUUCAGAGCAAGGAAAGGCUAUAUGAGUCAGAGGCGCAGGUACAAGGAAGCAACAUAGGCUCUGCUAGGCAGGCACUUGAGGGGAGCUUGUGCUCACUUUCCAGGACAUGAGGUAUUCUGAAUAUAUACCCCAGAGCUUGGUAGAGCCAUUUUUUUUAACAUGUCAUUCAAGGCAGUGUAUAUAGGUUAAGCUGCUCCAGCAUCCUUAGUUUCCAUAACAAACUAUGAGGUAGAAAGCGUAGUUAUGUGUGUUCUGUUAAAAGGUAAGAAAAAUGUCAAGAGUGGGACAGACGGUGGAAGGGCCUUACCCCUUUAUCCCUAUCCAAGGGACUUAACAGUGCCUUGCUACAGACUAUGGACAAAGUCCUAGGCAGAGGCUGCUUAGAAUUUCUACCUUGCCAAAGUGCCAAGGAACCCAGAAACAUUUCAUUCCCCUUUUAAAACCUUUUCUAUUAUUUUUAAAAGGAGGAAGGAAAAAUAUGAGAGGAGACAUUUUAUAAGGAAGUGAAAAACAAGGCAAAUUAUGGGGGGGAGGGGAUGAAGAGCCUCCUGUAGGAAGAGGGAAGGCUGCCCUCAGUUUCUUAGUGCUGAGACAAUAGGGGUGCUCUUUCCCGUUUCUCAUCAUGGACACAAAGGAAGCCUCAACUACAAGCUGUUUUUUAUUAGAUAGUAGCUCUGAUGUCACAGCUUCUCUUCCUUAUCCACCACCUACCUCCGCUAAAGAAAAAAAUUCCCCAGAACUGACUGGAACAGAGGAAUCUUAUCCAAAGAUACUAUGGUUGCAGCAACCCAAGGGAUGAUACAGAAGGCCUCUGAUAUAAAAGUAAUAUCCAGAAGUAGAUCACUUUGAACUCUGAGGAAAAAAGAGCAACAAAAAGGGAAGAAGGAAAAAAGGAGAAAUCUAUGACAUUAGUUACUGUUAAAAAAAAUGCCUUGGGAUAAGACAUUAGGUGCUCUAAUAAAUUGUCAGUGUCAUAGGGAUGUCAAUUUUCAAGAAAGCAUUUGCCAAAUUAUAGCAACUAUUCUGAGAAAGGAAUUGCUCUGACAGCACUAUUUGACCCUUUUUAAGAUCCCUGACCCAUUCUACCCCCCAAGAAAUGAGGACUACGCCUUGUUGCCCUAUGCUCCCAGAUGACACUGAAUAUGGAUCCAGGGUGAAGAAAAACAAUCUGCAGGAGAAGCAGCAUGGAGGACUUCAGAUAAGCUACCCAGAAGUAUCAGCUACCUAUGUCUGCAGACACACAAAUCUGCAACAUUUUCAGUCAUUUGAAAAGCUCUGAUACAGGCACAGUAAACCCAAGGGGUUCUUAAUAUUCUAUUUUCUUUAACAAUGCCACAUUUGCCAACAAUGACGUUACUUGGGAUUGCACAUUCCUUCUAUCGAAAGAUCUCAGAAUGCUGGGGGGACCCGCUCCCAUAGGAGAGAAGAGAUCUGGUGGCUCCUUUAAAGGAAAACUGUAGCAAUGGUGACCAAGGAAAGCACUGUCC
rnacentral:lncRNA from 1 species